rnacentral:rRNA from 1 species
UCCUGGCUCAGAUUGAACGCUGGCGGAAUGCUUUACACAUGCAAGUCGAGCGGCAGCGCGGGGGCAACCCUGGCGGCGAGCGGCGAACGGGUGAGUAACAUAUCGGAACGUACCCCGUCGUGGGGGAUAACACAGCGAAAGCUGUGCUAAUACCGCAUACGACCUGAGGGUGAAAGCGGGGGAUCGCAAGACCUCGCGCGAUGGGAGCGGCCGAUAUCGGAUUAGCUUGUUGGUGAGGUAAAGGCUCACCAAGGCGACGAUCCGUAGCUGGUCUGAGAGGACGACCAGCCACACUGGAACUGAGACACGGUCCAGACUCCUACGGGAGGCAGCAGUGGGGAAUUUUGGACAAUGGGCGAAAGCCUGAUCCAGCCAUGCCGCGUGAGUGAAGAAGGCCUUCGGGUUGUAAAGCUCUUUCGGUGGGGAAGAAAUUGCAUAGGCUAAUACCCUAUGUAGAUGACGGUACCUGGAGAAGAAGCACCGGCUAACUACGUG